CUAUAUGGAAAGACUUUCUUCUCAUUGGUCAACUCAUAUGUCAUACGACGACUUCCGGAAAUUGGCGUCUCCAUGAAUACCCAGAGAUCCGUAUCUCUUCGUGACGGGUAUUUCAAUUUUUGUGUUUUUUUUUAUAAAAAAUGAGUUUUGUGUACACUGUUUGUUCGUAAAUUCUUGUUUAUGCAUCGCUCAGCUUCUGCAAAAAACGCGAUUGAAUACUACACCGGCAAUACGAACCGGCAGGGAUGUUAUUGAUUAACUCGAUGGCAGGUAAUGAAAUUUACUUAAGUAAAUUUUGCAGAUGGUGUCCCGACGAAUUGGAUCAAAGGGUGACGCUCCAGAGCACGACGCAGCCUUCUUCCGUAGAGGAAACCUGGAUCAUCCCCCGAACUUGAUGUUCUGCCUUAGAUGACCUAUGUAGCAUGCAUAGGGCCGUAUCCAAGGAGUCACCACCCUCUGGUUUACAAGCUAGGUGUUCUAAUGCUAGAGGCUUCGGCCGGAUACGACCUGGCACCCAAGCUUCGAGAUUUCGUGCACGUAUUGCGUUGGACCUCGAGGGCGUAGGGGACGGGAUACGGAUACUCUUUAUGGAUAGAAAUUCGGGGUAGGAUACCCCAACUCAACCUAGAACCAACUAAAGAUAAUUCGAGUUCGUCGCUCAUUUAAAUCGAAGAAGAUUUCAGAUGAAAUAUUGCAAGACGCCUGUGAUUAGUCCUAGAGCUUCUUUGGAUUCUCCCAAUCACCGUCGAGUACUUGUUUAAGUACCAACUCUACAGAAUCGUCCGAUGUCCAGAGAGUUGCAGACAUUUUAGAAGUGGUCAAUGCAGUGCUCAUUAUGAGAAAGCACUUUUCUUCAGCUGAAUAUUCCUUCUAUAAAUGAAAUACAGCAAUAUGGUCUAAAGCCUCUGUUCUGUCCUCUCUUACACUCACAAUGUAACAGCUGUAAAACUAGAUUGUCCUAGCUCAUGUAACAAUCUGACAGUUGUAACGUUCUGUUACACAUGGAAUACUACAUGUUGAUGGAACAGCAGCUGUAAAUUGUCUUGACUUCAAAUCUCAUAAUUGAUAAAACUACCAGCAUUCUUCUUAAAGGUAUUUAUUUUGCUGCUUUUGGCUGUUGCUUCAAUACCAAAAGGAGUCUAUAUGUAUAGGAGUUUAUUUUUAUUCUGGUACUGUUAUAAAACUUGAUAAUCUGGACAAACUUCAGACU